rnacentral:lncRNA from 1 species
CUCGGGGGCUGUUAUUCUACUGAACUCCAAGUUCACGCAGCUGUUCAUUCCCUGCUUAAUGUACUGAUGAGGCUGAAGGGAUGAAACUCAGUGGAAAAGAAGAGUUUGAAGAUCCAUGGGAGAGAGUUGGAACGGAUGAGACCAGAGAGUCAAAUCACAGCAUCACAACCCCGUGCACACAGAGCUUCACCUAAAGGCAGCACGUUACUGGAAACAGUUUUAAAUUUUAGCACCAAAGAAAAUGUUUUGAACGAAAUAAUUUUUCAAGAAAAUGAAUUAAUGAAGAAGUAAAUUAAAAAGCGAGAGAAAACAUGCUACACCGAAUACAAGGCAAUCAAAAAUAAUCAAGGGGUUCAUUUUUUCCAAGACAAGGUAAGCUUCUGACAAUCUCUUGUAUUGCAGUUGGAAAAAUUUGUGCUUUUGUUGUGAACAUUGCUGUGUCAAAAUGUUUCAAACGGGGCAAUUCUAUCCACCAAGACUGAUGUCUGAGUGUUCAGAUUAGUUAUUAUUCCAAAAUUUAAUUCUACCAAUUUAUACAAACAUCUACAGCUUAUUUGAAAACAUUAAGUUGUUUUUCUUUAGCGCUUUUAGUUCAAGUUCCAAAAUUCCAUUCUUAUAAUACCCCAGAUUGUUUAAUGAUUGUUUAAUAUUUUGGAAUACCCAUUGUAUAGUAGGAGCAUAUCAACAGACCGUGCCUCUUAGUAUUUACUGAGAAAUAUAUAACCGGCAUCUUGUAAAUAUUUAUCUCUCAGAUGCAGUGAAAACAGUAAGAUUACUAGACAAAAAUAAUCACGCUGAUACAUAUUGCGUAAUUCCACAGAACUACAUCCAGGUAUUUUAUAAAAUUUCACUGCUUUUUGAUUUCUAAUCCUGCUAAAUCCUUUGCGGGAAAAAAAUCCAAAGGGAAUUGAAAAUAUCCUUGGAAAGUGUGAUUUUUUGCUGUAUGUCUUCCCCAUUGCUAUUUCUCUACAUCAUUUGCUCUAUUUUUCUAUCUAUCUAUCUAUCUAUCUAUCUAUCAAGUAUCUAUCAAAUGCUUCCAAAUAUA